rnacentral:rRNA from 1 species
UACGUAGGGUGCGAGCGUUAAUCGGAAUUACUGGGCGUAAAGCGCGCGUAGGCGGUUUUGCAAGCCAGAGGUGAAAUGCCUGAGCUUAACUUAGGAAUUGCCUUUGGGACUGCGAGGCUUUGAGGACGAGAGAGGUGAGUGGAAUUCCCAGUGUAGAGGUGAAAUUCGUAGAUAUUGGGAAGAACACCGGUGGCGAAGGCGGCUCACUGGCUCGUUUCUGACGCUGUAGCGCGAAAGCGUGGGGAUCAAACAGG